rnacentral:rRNA from 1 species
CCUACGGGUGGCAGCAGUGGGGAAUAUUGGGCAAUGGGCGCAAGCCUGACCCAGCAACGCCGCGUGCAGGAAGAAGGCUUUCGGGUUGUAAACUUCUUUUGUCAGGGACGAAGCAAGUGACGGUACCUGACGAAUAAGCCACGGCUAACUACGUGCCAGCAGCCGCGGUAAUACGUAGGGGGCGAGCGUUAUCCGGAUUUAUUGGGUGUAAAGGGCGUGUAGGCGGGAAUGCAAGCCAGAUGUGAAAACUAUGGGCUCAACCCCGAGCCUGCAUUUGAAACUGUAUUUCUUGAGUGCUGGAGAGGCAAUCGGAAUUCGGUGUGUAGCGGUGAAAUGCGUAGAUAUACGGAGGAACACCAGUGGCGAAGGCGGAUUGCUGGACAGUAACUGACGCUGAGGCGCGAAAGCGUGGGGAGCAAACAGGAUUAGAUACCCGGGUAGUC